UACGUAGGGGGCAAGCGUUGUCCGGAAUUAUUGGGCGUAAAGCGCGUGUAGGCGGCUCAGCAAGUCCGCUCUGAAAGCCCAGGGCUCAACCCUGGGAUGCGGGUGGAUACUGCUGAGCUCGAGUCCGGAAGAGGCGAGUGGAAUUCCUGGUGUAGCGGUGAAAUGCGCAGAUAUCAGGAGGAACACCGAUGGCGAAGGCAGCUCGCUGGGACGUGACUGACGCUGAGACGCGAAAGCGUGGGGAGCGAACAGG
rnacentral:rRNA from 1 species